UUUCUACUCCCUCCGUCUGAAAAUACUUGUCAUCAAAAUGGACAAAAAGAGAUGUAUUUAGAACUAAAAUACAUGUAGAUACAUCUCCUUUUAUUCAUUUUGAUGACAAAUAUUUCCGGACGGAGGGAGUAUUCA
rnacentral:pre_miRNA from 1 species